rnacentral:lncRNA from 1 species
GAACUGUAUAAGAAGUUUGGUUUGACCGAAGUUGAGAUUUUCAAAGCUAUCAAGCGUCAACCAUAUUUUAUGGCUUGUUCAGAGGAGAAAAUCAAGAGUUUAAUGAAUUUUUAUACCUACACAAUGAAGUUGAAGCCAUCUGCAAUAGCUACUUAUCCUAGGCUUCUUUUGUAUUCAUUUGAUGCAAGGAUACAACCAAGGUUUAAUGUUUUGAACAUCUUGGCUUCAAAGAAGCUGCUUAAGACACACAAAAAGAUUGCAUGGUUGCUCACACAAAGCGAGGCUAAGUUCUUGACCAAUUAUGUGAACAAGUACUUGGACCAAGUUCCAGAUUUAAUGGAACUAUAUCGUGGGGUCAAGACAAUUGAUCUCUGAUGAAAUUGAAGUAAGUUGUGUUUUAUGGCACAGCAUUUUAAAAGUAUAAGACACACGUGCUCAAGACACACAAACACACACACACACACACACACACACAUAUAUAUAUAUGCUUUUAAUUUGAUUUUAAUCAUUGGCCUUGUCAUCUUCUGACAGACAUGCUCAAGACACACACAUAUAUGCUUUUAAUUUGAUUUUAAUCAUUGUCCUUGUUAUCUUCUGAUUGUUUUGAAGAGUGGUUUCAUGAAGUCAUUUGUGGUUGGUGGUUAAUCAUUAUCACAUUAGUGCUAGACCAUUGCAUUGGUUUCCAUGGUGUUUUCAUUGAUGUUUCAAUUUGACAUAGUGCAAGUAAAUUUCAAAAGUAGUCAUUGCUAGAAUGAUAGACAAACCAAUAGCUAAACAGGAAGGCAUGGCCAGCUUUCAAGCACCUGUGCAUUAAAAAAUUUCCUAAUAAAUAUUUUUCCAGUCAUGAUUAUUACUGAAGUUUUGUUUUGCAUUAUUGAUGUGCUAUUUGUUUGAUUCUUUUAUUGCAUAAAACCAAUUAACAAUAUCUUCCAUAAAACCAAUUAAAGAUAUCCUUAGAAAUAGAACAAACUAUUUGAUAUGGUAAGUACAGCUCAUGAGCCAAAUGGGUUUGCAGUUUGUUUGUACUAUAAUGAAGUCUUUGUAGUUUUUAUAUUUAUUAUUUACUUCAAUAACCAAUAUGCAGAAGCGGAAUUCAAUUAUCUGAUUAAAGGGGGGAAGUGAGUAGAUAUUAGAAUUUUUAGUUUAGGGGCCUUGACAGGGAUAUGCAACCCUUAAAUUUGGAUGCGUAGAUGGGAAACAAUUUUUCAGGUGGUCUGCUAUUUGAAAUAUACUAAGUUAAUUAUAAUUUUGUUUUGCUUUGAUGAUAUGGCCUUACUGUUGUAAGGUGCAUUAAGCAUCCCUGUGUAAUCAAAACUUUGUCCUAUUUUCUUCCAUCUUGGGCUUCAACGAUUGUCCUAGUGCAAACUGUUUGCUUGUACUGGCAUUCUAAGUUUUAUUUUCGAUGUUGUUGGUAACUUUAUUGAGCUAAGGACCAGGCCUCUGGAAGAAGUGAGGUGGAUUAGGUAUGGUUUUAAUGUGGAUGGAUAGAUGCUCAAUCGAGGGUUUUGGUAGUCCAAAAGAGCUUAUCAGUUAAUGCUUUUGUUUAAAUAAUAUUGUGAAGGUUUACAAGAAGGACAGGAAAGAGUUGUCAUGUUAGGGUAUCAUCUUUGGUGGAGCUUUUUUUAGGGAAUCGAAGAAGAUGAUGCCAUUAUUUGAUUUGUACUCUUACUGAGGUACUUGUUGUUAUUCGAUGUUGUUAUUACCAGUCAUCUUUCACUGCUCAACAAUCACAAUGCCAUUGGUUGCUAGUUGCCAUGGGCCUAGCCAUAUGUUUGGCUGGAGUCUUCUCCAGCUAAUGAUGCCCUGAUCCCAAAGUGGUAGGAGUAUUUUCUAGGUAAGUGCUUCUAUCCAUAUGGAGAAUUUUCUGUUACCUAGUAGAACAAUUUUACUUUGAAGCACUGCAUAUAUGGAUUCAACCUCUCUGGUUUCCAUUCCAGGCUUUAAAUGUGUGAGAGCAAGGUCAAUUGAUUAGUCCUCAUAGACUUUUAGAAUCUUUGACAGUUUCACCCUUCCUAUUCCUAUCAAAAAUUUCAAAUUAGGCUCAGGGUAUAGUUUCAACUUUCUUUUCUUCAGUGCUACUACUAGUGGUGUUCCUUGUACUUGGAACUCUUGGGUACUACUGAAGGUGGGCUUUUUGCUUGGGAGGCUACUUGGGAAAAGGUUUUGACCUUGGAUCAUUUAAAGAGGAGAGGGUGGUCUUUGGCAAAGAAAUGUUUCCUUUGUCAUUUAGAGGAAGAAUCCAUUGACCAUAUCCAUAUUCACUAUGUAAUGACAAGGGUUUAAUGGCAUUUACUAUUUUCCUUAUUUGGCGUGUCUUAGGUGCUUCCCUCUUUGGUCAUAGAGAUGCUUUUGGGAUGACAUGGCUUGUUUAUGAGUAAAAAUGGAAAAAGGCCCCGCAUGUUGCUCCCAUAUGCUUGUUUUGGACAAUUUGGAAGAAAAGAAACAGUAGAUAGUUUGAAAAUGAGGAGCAUUCUGAUCAAGAGUUGAAACACCUUUUUUUCUAUUAUCUAUUGGUUUGGUCUAAGUUGUAUAUAGUUUUUGGUCCCCUUUCUCUAGUAGAUUUUGUUGCCCCUCUUUUCUUGUGGAGCUGUUUUUAGGCAUUUGUUGUAUAUUUCCUAUGUACUUUGUGGCACUUUGUUGGUGUUUCUUGUUUAGAAUAUUCUCUUGCUUUACUCAUAAAAAAUAAUAUCAAAAUGUCAUUUUCCUAUUAAAUAACGAUCAUCUAAAAUAUAAAAUUCUUCUUGUUCUAUUUAAAGGUUAUAAUGCAUUUUGACUAAAAGGAUUUGAAGUUGUUUCAUUGUCUAAAUUCUAAAGCUAAAUUUAUAAUACCUUUGUUACUCAUGUUAUGUUUGGUUACUAGGAUAAGAUGUGGAUAUCCUAGGAUAUCAUUUCUAGUGAGAUAUGAUAUUCUAUUAUAUUAUACCUAUCAAAAACAAUAUAUAUUUUUUUAUAUUAUAUUCAGUGGAUGUUAUGCUUAUAUUUGGUUCGUAAAAAAAUAAAAAUAUAAUGGAUACCCUAGUGUUUAAUGUUAGAUGUUUAUUUAAAAUAAAAAUUAUAUUACAUUCAAAUAUUUGCUUUUGAAAAAAAUAUGAAAUAUAUCUCAUGUUUAUUAUUAUUUGGAAAUUGUUCUAUAAUUUUGAAUUAAGUAAUUUUUUAUUUAUUUGUUACCAAUAUCCAUGAUUAAAAUAUUUAAAAUUUAUAUAAAAAAAAAAGUGUUAUAUUAUAUUAUUCAAUAUAUAAAAAUAAUUUUUAUAUAUUAAAUAUUAUUUAAUAUAAAUUAAAUAGUACAUAUACUAUUAAUACUAUUUCAUAAUAUUUUUAUGCAUAUUUUUUUAGUUCUCUUUUUUAACUACAAAGUUAUUUUUAUUAAUUUAGUUUUUGUUUUGCAAAAUAAAUAUUAUAAAAAAAAUGAAAAAAUUUAAUGAGAAGAAUAAUUUUAUGACACAUGAGAUAUAUAUGUCUUAUUAUCUUAUCUUACUAUUAACAUAUCUUAUAUAAAGAGGACAUAAAAAAGAGUUAAAUCAAGGUGUUCCACCACUUAUCUUAUCCUAUGUUUUUUUGAGCAUAAGAUAUGAUAAGUGAUAAGAUAGCCCAUUCAAUUUCAUCACCAACCAAACAUAGCCUUGGGAAUUUUAUUGAAGGUUAAUUCUUUCAAACAUAAAGGUGCGGUCUAAAACUGAAAUAAGACUAAAUGUGACCAAUGACACAGGUGCAGUUUGAAACUAAAAUAAGACAUGAUGUGGUCUUGAGAUACCAAACCCAAGUUAUUUGGAGAGCCCUGCUUUUUGUGGUGCUUUAGAUUAUCUGGAAAGAUGAAACCACGAGAUUGUUUGGCAUGCCUAAGCUUGGUGUUUAUUUGUUUGUUCAAAGUUUCUAAAUGCAGAGGUAACUUGAUGCAAAUCUCUGGUUUUAUCGAAUGGGGGGUUUAUCUAGGAAACUCUGUUUUAAUGGAAACCUCAGCAACUGCUUUCUCCUUUAAAUCUUGAGUUUUUCUGGUUGUCUAUAUCCACCUUAUGGGCUGUUAUCCUUCCAGGCUUUUUUUCUCCCCCUGGUUUGGAAUACAGGAUGAUAUUAUAUUCCCUGUUUUUUUCGGCCUAAAUUAAUCUGUGUGGAUUAUUAAAUUUGGAAGGCCGGAAUUCCUGAUGAAGUGAUCUUGGUUAGUGGCUUAUUAGAAGUUAAAUACCAACACAAAUAAUCAAGAAUCAGAAAUAUACUACUACCAAAUACACUCUUUCCCUGAAUUGUUGUGUGAUUGAUGUUUAAAUGGAAGUCAUAUACUGAUUCUGGCUGAUUCAUGCCCCCCUGACUCCUGAGUCACUCUGAAGUGAAAUUCUUCUUUCCAUGGCUAAUUGGAUUGCUCUUUGUUGAGUACACCAACUUAUGUUAAAAGUAUAGGCCAUCUCUGCAGGGUUCAAUUUCAAAUAUAUUUUGGUGGUUUCUUGAUUUGUAGACAUGAAACAUUCAUAGCCCGAUAAUUUCUUUGGUUACUCUAUUCAUUCCAAAUGUGUCAAUCUAGAUAUCCAGAGAUCUGAUAUUGCUGCAAUAUUACCCUUUUUCAGCCGUUUACUGUUCUGGUUAUGUGCUACCCGCAACAGCAGCAGUUAAAAAGUGAUGGGGGGAACAGAUUUGUAACCUGAUUGGCCCAUGCACCAUUCAAAAUAAUGGAGCAAAUGGCAUCUGUUGGAGCACCUCUUCCUCUGUACACUCUGCUGAAAAUUAAACUACAUUUUUUGAUACAGUUAAAUUCUUAUACAGAGGUGUUUGAAUGUAGUUAAAAAUGUGUUUGGCCGUGAUUUUAAGAAGCGUUUAUAGUCUUUUUAAUAUUUUAAAGAUAAAAUUUUUUAAAUUUUUGAAAGGUUAAAAGCAUUUCCUAUGAUCACUGGCAAACACACUAUAGGAUUGAUUGAGUAAUUUAAUUAGUUUGUGUAAAUUUUUUUGUUUUACUCAUUCCAAAGUUUUGGAGCAUUACGACCUCAAUUGGUUACAUUUUUUUUUUUAAAAGUAAAAAUUUCUAUAUAAAAUAUAGUAACUAUUAUAUAAAAAGUAUGGAUUAACCUUAUUUUUGGGAAAAAAAUUAUGUUUGAGGUAGCAAAAACUUUUAAUACCUUAAUUUUUUUAAUCAUUUUUUAAAAACCAUUAUAUUUUCAUUCAAGUCUUAUAAAGUAUUUGUAUUUUAUAUAGAAGUUAUUAUUUUUAAAAUCAAAAAAUUGAAAGUGCAUUCAUGUCUGCUAAAGUAUCACAUUAUUCAUUCUUUGGUAGAUAAUAUUUGGAUUUCUUUUGUUUUUAUCAUAAAUUUGGCAUUAUGCCAAAUUAUUUUGUGAUGCCCUCAUACCUAUAUUUCAACCCUUGUGAAGAGGAGUAUGAUAGUAUAGUUUGUGUUUAGAAUGUUGGAAUAAAGAAUGGGAACGAGAAAUCAAUUCCAUCUCCUAUUUAUUUAGAUGUUUGAAUUACAUCUGAAAAUAAUAAUAAAAACAAAAAAAAUAAUUACUAUGAAAAUCAAAUUCUAUUUGACUCCUUUGUUGAACAUGAUAUCAUGAUUUCACUUUAUUCACAUCCUAUGUCUAUUCUUAUUCCUAUUUAUUAAACACGUCUUUAAUUUGUCUUUCCAUUAUUAUUCUUAUUUUACCAAACACAUCCUUAAUUUCUCUCUACAAUCAGUACCAAGUUUGAAUAUUUUUUGUAUUUAAAUAAUAUAGGAUAGAGGAGAAGGCUCAAUUUUUUUGCUUUAUAGCGGGCGAGAUAGAUACCAAUUGAGGCACAUUAAAUGCAUAAAAAAUAAUAGCUACGUCCUUUGCAUCAAAUCAAGUGAGAUGUAGUUAAGACUAGUAGUAAACAAAAGAAGAUGAAUAGUGUGGAUUUGUUAUAUGUUGUCUACAUGCAUGUAUUAUCGACUCAUUUCAUUAUGUCUAAUUCUUUAGUGGUCAAACUUAUGUAAAUCUUACUUGUUGGAGGCAAAGUGGUACUACAAUGGAUAUAUACCAACCCUAUGAGGAUAUAUUAGUAAUUCGUGGAUUUCAAAUCAAGUCUUGUAAUACUAGACCACAUAGUGCAUGAGUGAAAAAGGAAUGAAAACUAGAUCCAAUGUAUUAGUACUGGUGCCUAUAGGCUAUGAACAAGCCUUAGGAUGAAUAAAUAUUAAGUUACUAAAAAUCGAUGGAAAUAAAUUUCUAUGAAUCAAUAUUUGUUUACAUAAUUCAAGGAGCCUUGUUAUCCAUAUUGGUUUCUUAACUUUGAGCUAUACAUAACGGGUUGACACAAAUAGGUCAUGUGCCCUGCCUAGAUAUUCAUGAGAGCUCUAGAGAACCUGUCUAAGUUCUCAUAAAAAGCAACCCCGCCUCCACUCUCAUAUAGGGUAAAUCCAUCAAACUUGUCCUACAACUAAACACAUUAUCCAUAAGAAAUAUGGUAUUCACUAAGAGUGAAUACUCAUUCUCAAUCAUUAUAGAAUGCGUUUUAUCUACACGUUAGGGAUAGACUCCUACAUAUAUAUAUACAUAUAUGGCUUAUAAAGUAUCUCACAAUCAGCAAGUGAUUUUUAAUUAUUUGGGGUGUAAAUAAGAUCAAUUCAAUUGGUUUUUGAGUAAAAAAAAAAAUGAACCAAAUCGACAUUGUCAAUUUAUAUGUGAUAAAAAUCAAACCAAUCAUAUUAUGAAGCGAAAAACCAAACCAAGCCUUUUUAAGGUUGAUUUGGUUUCUUUUUUGUGGAUUAGUUUUGACCCAACUUAAUGGCCUUUUUUAGUCAUCGACCCAAUUAUGGAUUUGUAUUUUUUUUUAGCUUAAAACCCAUUAGUUUAAGUUCAUAUUAUGGUUUGAUUUUAUUUCAAGCUAUAGUUAGUAAAGCCCAAAGCUCUGGGUUUAUAUUAUGGGUGUUUUUUCUAACUAUAGCACAUUGUAAAGGCCAAACACCAUGUUAAUAUUCUUUUCCAAAGCCCAAAAAUCCGUGACCCAAAAAACCUAAUUACAAAUAAUUUUUUUUAAAAAAAUAAGAACGUUAAACACUAAAGGAAGAGACCUAGAGGGAUAAAGCUAUCACAAGAAGAGAAUGAGGAAGAAUCAAGAGUGAAAAAAGAAAAAAAUAUCAAACAAAUAGAAAAACAAAAGCAAAAUCAUUGGAAACAAAAGCAAAAAACAAAGAGAAUGUUUCCAAAAAUCAAUGGUGUGCUCAAGUAUAGUGACCAACUCCUUUUUCCUCUCUCUUCUACAAAACCUCAAUUUCUUCACUUGAAACCCUAACUCUUCCCCACUAAGUCUCUUUGACAUUGUUGCCUUCUUCAUCGAUUAGGCUUCAACUUCCUAAGUCAUUGACAAAUUUGAGGCCCUACAAGGAUGAGAAGGUUAUAUUUUCCCCAAAACAAUGUCAUUUUACAUUGGCUUGGUUUGGUUCAGUUUCAAUUAGGCUUUUUCUUCCAAAUCCAACAACCAAACUGAUUUAGUCGGUUUGCCUAUCCCAAUAAGCGAACUAACCUUUACUACAUAUGAAAACCAAACCAUACAUUUUGGUUAGGACUAGUUUAGGUCAAUUUGGUUAGUUCUUCAAUUCUCACUUACAACCAUAGUUAUUAUCCAUAUGAACCUACUUCAUAGAGUCUCCAUUCUAAUAGGUUAGGUUACCAUUACUCUUGAAUUUUGUAUUGGGCAUAAGUCUCAUCCCUUCUAUGUUUCUUCCACCAAUUUCUUAUUUAGUGGUUUGGUCAGAGGAUCGACCAAAUUCAAAUUUGACCUCAUAAAUUCCAAAGAUAGAAACCCUCUCUCAAACAAUUGUCACAUAAUAUUGUGCCUUAAGCUUACUUUUAACCUUAGUUAUUGUAGCUUGGCUAUUGUAAAUGAUAAACAUAGACAGUGUUGGUUUCAUCCAUAGCGAAAUAUCUACUAAGAGGUUUCUAAGCCACUUAACCUCAUAAAUUUGCCUUUUCUAAGGCAAUAAACUCAAUCUCCAUAGUAGAACAAGUAAUACAAGUUUACUUGGUAAACUUCUAAGAAACUACACCUCCUCUAAAGGUGAAAACAUAUCCAUUAGUGGUUUUAUCUCAUCUAAAUCAGAUAUCCAAUUAGUAUCACUAAAUCCUUGAAGGACAUUUGGACAUCCACUAUUGCACAAACCAUAGUCAGUGGUGUCUCUCAAGUAAGCGCUUUAUGAAUAGCAAUCUAGUGGUUAUGAUUAGGACUUAGGAUGUACCGACUCAAUCUUCCUACUGCGUAGGCAAUAUCAGGUCUACUAUAAUUCAUUAAGUACAUCAGGCGUCUAAUUAUCUAAGGAUACUCAAUUUAGGUAACAAUAUACCCUUUUAUUUUUCUUCAAAUAUGAGAUGGGAUCAUAUAGAGUUGAUAAUGGUUUAUAGUUAAAGUGUUAAAACUUCCUUAAGAUAUUCUCAACAUAGUAUUCUUGAGAAAGUUUAAGCUCAUUAGGUAUUUUAAUUAAUUUGAUUUUUAGAAUCACCUCUAUUUUUCUUAGGUCUUUCAUGUCAAACUUAGAACACAGAACUUUCUUGGUCUCACAAAUAACCUUAAGGCUAGAUCCAAAGAUCAUCAUGUCAUCAACAUAUAGGCAGAUGUAAACACGUGUUAUCCUCAAAUCUAUUGUAAAUAUAUUUAUCAAUGUCAUUAAUAGGAAAUCCAUUAGUUACUAACAUAUUAUUAGAUUCACCAUAUCAUUGUUUGGAUGUUUGUUUUAACCCUUAUAGCGAUUUAACUAGCCCUACAUACUUUUUUUGUUUUUCUGAUGGAACCACACAACCCUCAGGCUAGUCUAUAUAAAUUUUGUCUUCCAAUUCCCCAUUCAAUGACGCAUUUUAACAUCUAAUUGAUGCAUCACCAAGUUAUGAAUGGAAGUUAGAGCAGUCAACACUGUAAUUGAGGUUAUUUUAGUCAUACAGCAAAAGUGUCUUGAGUAAUUUACACCCUUCCUUUACUUAAAUCCUUUAGCAGCUAAAUGUGCCUUAUACUUCUCUAGGACCAAUAUGAUUUUGACUUCCUUUUAAAGAUCCAUCUAUAGCCUAUAGUGUUUGCACUAAGAAGUAAGUCCAUUAUCUCCUAUGUAUGGUUAUACAUGAUCGAUUUGAUUUUGUUGUUAAUGACCUCCUUCGAGAAUGGUGCAUUUAGAGAAAUUAUCGCUUCUUAUAGGAUCAAAGGUCCUCGUCUAUUAGGAAGGUGUAGAAAUCAUCUCUAAGGUUUGUUUCUUUUCCUAUCUUUUUUACUUAUUCUUAGUUCAAUUUCAAAAAAUUCAAUUAGAUUCGUCUUUAAUUGUUCUUUGAAUUUGUUCUUCACCACUUGGUUUCAAAGGAAAGAUGUUUUCAAAGAAAUUAGCAUUUUUUGUUUCCAUUAUAGUGUUCACUUCUACAAGGUUGUUUUAUGAUUAAUAACCAUAAAUCUAUACUUCAUUGUUCUCAACAUACUCCAUCAACAUUGCAUCAAAAGUUUUAAGACCUAAUGAAUUUUCGUUUCUUAGGUUUAGGAAAAUGUACUUUAGCCAAACACCUCCACACUUUCAAGUAUGCUAUGUUAGGUGCAUAACCUUUCCAUAACUCAUAGGGUUUUUUUACCAAUUUUCUUCAAAGGUAUCUUGUUUUGAAUAUAAAAAGUAAAGAGGAUAGCUUCCCUUGACAAGUUCAAAGGGCUUUUGAACAUACCAACAUUGUAUUCGUCAUGUCUUUAAGGACCUUAUUUUUCCUCUCUACUACUUCAUUAGAUUCAGGGGAACAAAGAGAAAUAGUUUCAUGAAUAAUCCUCUAAUCUUCACAAAAGAAGUUAUAGGGGUUGGACUCAUACUCUCCUUCCCUAUUAGUUCUAACUUCUUCUUUUUUCGUACUUAGUUGAUUUUCUAUUUUAUUUUUGUAUUUAAUGAAAGCAUUUCUUGUUUCAUCUUUGUUUAUGAGUGUUGAAUAGGUUCACUUAUGUGUAUAAGGGUAUUUUGGUAAUUAUGUAAGGUUGUAUAGCGGUUAGUGAAUGGUAUCUUUGGAUUGAGAUAAUUGAUUAAUUGGACAAUCAUGUUAGGUUAAUUAAUCAAUUAGGGCCCUUUUAAGCUAGAUUAAGUGACUUAAACCCCUAAUGAGCUCAAGUCACUUAAAUCUAAUAGGGAACUCUAUCAAUACCCUUUAGGGGUUAGGGUUUCCAAUUAGUUAUCUUCCACCAUCUAGAGAGUAGAGAGAGCUUUAAAGGGUGUUUUUUUUUAGCUUUUUACUUAAAACAAUUUGGUUUAAGACUUUAAGUUGUUUGUUUUUCUACUUUUUCAUGACUUAUUAUAAAUUUUUUGUUAAAUAGAAAAAACCAAAAUAUUUUACUUUUUCUAAAUGAAAAAAGUAACAUGUUGGUUUUUCUUUACUUUUUAAUGUUUAAUAGAAAUAAAAUAUUAUCAAAACAAAUAACUUAAUAUUUAAUGCUAUUAAACACUAUUUAAUUUUAAGUUCUAUUUAGAAUUAAGUAAAAAAAAAAAAACACAAACACCACCUUAGCCUCCACCCUCUCGAAUACCCCACCGUUUAAGUGUCAAGGAUCAAAGUAGAGUCAUUGAGCAAAAGAUCAUGGGUUUAUGAGACAUAUGAUGACUUCAAUUUGCUUAUUCUUUGAACGGAUUUUAUUUUGGAACAUCCAAAUCAAAGGUAAAAUUUUGUAAAGCAUUUAAUCUAGAUCUUUUAAUGUUAAAAAUUGUAUUUUUGCUUCCGUUGCAUAAGAUCUAAAUGCCCUAGGGAGUUUUCAUGCACCUAACAUGAGCUUGAGAUAAGGAACGAAGAUAUCCAAGAUUCCCUACAAUCAUGUUUUACAUCUACUUUUCUUUAAAUGUUAUUAUGCUAUGAUGGAUAUUGUACAUCAAAAUUAUUAUAUGAUAUAUUCUAAAACCAUCAUUACCUUAGAUUGACCAUUAAAACUUGUGCAUUAUGACCAUUCAUCGAAACAAAUUUCCCUUCAUUUAGUCCAUUUUUUUCUUCAAAUGAGCAGCUUGUAAGUCCAAUUAAGCUUGAGUCAAAGCUAGAGUCAAUUUUUAAGAGUAAGCUUUAGGGCUCAUAACCGAUCAACAUAUUUGGUUAUCCUUAGUUGUGUUGGUCAUGUUAAUUUUUCUUCUUUUUAGACAUUUUGCUACUUUUAGGAUGUACUAAACCAUAAGGCCUAAAUUAUUGUUACCCAUUUAUACUUUAACUUUUCCCUUAAGUUGUAUUUAGUUUUUCACUACCAACAUAUGUAUCAAUUUUUUUAUUACUUAGUAUACUCUUAUUCCAUUUGUUGAGCUAGUAGCCCUACUAUGAAAUUCAAUUUGUAGUAGACUCACCAUCUUCUAGUAAACCCUUAAGGCAAGACAACUACAUUUGGUACCCAAACUUAGGUUAUGGGUUCUAUAGACUUUGAACAUCCUCGUCUAGAAUCACAGAUGCUACUAUGGAGUGUCAUUUAUUAGGAAAAUUGAAUAGGAUGUUAACUAUGCUCAUGAUCUAGUUGAUCAAUUCAACAUUAUUUAGUUAGUGUUAAGACUUGUAUUUGCAUCAAUCUUAGAGCCUUUAACUUUGACAAAAGAAGUGUUAUUAGAGUUAGUAGGGGAACUUCCAUAUUUUGAAACCAAGCAUAAUCAAAAUUAUCAUCCUUUGGUUUAAGAAAACUUUGUAGAACUCUGUGUUUUAAUGUCAUGUGAGUGAGAUGAGAUGACGUAGAAUCAAUAAAUAAACAAAAAGCAUAAUACUUAGAAAUAUUUAGUGUCAAACCCACUUAAGAAAUUCUUCAAUGUUUGAGGGAAAAGUUGAUACAUAACAAAUGAAUUAAAACCUUAUUAACUAGUAAAAAUAUCAUUAACAAAUGGUCUAAUUAUUGAAAAAUCAAUUUUAAAAAUCCCUUAAAUAAUAGUAAUGCCUAAAUAAAACAUAAUAAUUCUUAUAAGGAAAAUGAACAUAUCUUUAUAUUUCAAAAAUUAAUUCUAAUUUUUUAAUUUGAGGUAAUAAAAAUAUAAUAUUAUUUCAAAAAAUUUCAAAUAAUUUUUAGAAAAUAUCAUAUUCCCAAAAGUUUCUAUAUCUUAUAUGUAAAGGACUACUACUUUUAUAUUUGAAAAUCUAAAAAGGGGAUAACAAGGUGCAAAAAUAAUUGCUUAUAAUUUAGGGUUAUUUGAUUAAAAGGUCAUUUAAAACUCAAUUUUUAAAAUUUAACCCUUCAUUUUUUUUUGUCUCAUUUUGACAAAAAUACCCUUAUUUUUUAUUGUAAAAAUAACCAUUUUUCUUAAAACAUAUAUAUAAAUACUUGAAAUAAUAAAAUAUAUUUAUGUCAAAAAUGGAUUACUCUUCAAAUAAAAUAUGAGAAGAAUUAAAUUCACAAAUAUGAGAAUUAUUUUAUCAAUUUUAAUCAGUUAAUUUUUUAAUUUAGUUGAUAAAAAAGAUUACCCGAGGUACCCCAUUAAAAAAAAUGCAACCUAAGGUUAGCAUAAAUAAGCAUUAAAAGGGUAGACUAGUAAAUUCAAUAACAUUAAUGAAGAAUUUUUUGGAAAAAAUUUAAAAAUAUUUAUUAAAAUAUAUCAUUUUUGAAAGAUAAUUUCAAUUUACAUACGAAGUUAUGUAUUCAAAUGAUAAUUUCAAAUUUUAAUUAAAUUUUCGUAAAUUUGAAAAUAAUUUGAAAAGUGAUAUAUUUUAAAAAGUAAAUUUUAAAAUUAUUUUUUGCAAAAUCCCCUCACUCGACCCUCUGGUUGUUCUUUUGCCCCUACUCUAAAACCCUAAACCCUUACAGACCCAUCUCGAUUCUCUUCUCUGCAACUAAUGAGUCUCUGCCCAGUGGUCUCUAGGGUUUUGCUUUGAGGUGCUUUGGCCUCUCUAUAUGCCAGAUCCAGGUACUUUCAAAGUCAUUCUUUUCUUGAACCAAUCUCUAUUUAAAUGGCUAAGCUUCAUUUCCAGAGUUUGCUUUGUUUGAUGCAAAAACGUUUCCUCACAACAUCGUCAACACUGUAUACAUCUUCGUUGUCUUCUUCAUCUUCAACAUUAUUAUCACCAUCGUACACAGCCCAAUUUCUUGUGAAAUCUUGUGGGCUUCCCUUGGACUCUGCCAUUUCCAUCUCUCAGAAGCUCAACCUCGAUGAAAACAAACGGCAAAAGCAUGAGUCUGUGCUCGAAUUCCUCAAAUCUCAUGGAUUCUCCGAUACCCAUGUUGCAAAACUUGUCUCAAAGUGUCCCCCGAUCCUCCAAGCCAGAGUAGAUAUGCUCAAGCUCAAAAUAGACUACCUCCAUGACAGUGGCUUUGUGGGUCCGGUCCUUCAUGAGCUAAUUGUGUCUAAUCCGGCCAUUUUGAGGCGAAGCUUGGAUAAACAGAUAAAACCGUCAUUUGAUUUUCUCAAGGAAUUCCUUGAAACCAAUGAGAAAAUUGCAGCAGCUAUUAAGCGCGAAUCAUGGUUGUUAACCUUCGAUCUGAAGAAAAUUUUGAAGCCAAACACUUUUCUUUUGAUAAAUGAAGGGGUCCCUCAUAGUAGAAUGUCAAAAUUGAUUACAUUACAGCCGAGAGUCAUAAUGCAGCAUGUUGAUAGGAUGGUGUAUGCCACAGAAAGGGCCAGAAGUUUGGGUAUCAAACCAACCGAUCCUAUAUAUGUAACUGCUAUUACAGUGAUUCUCUCAAUGACCGAAUCAACCUGGAAAAGGAAAGUGGAACUGUAUGAGAAAUUUGGUUUUACUGAGGUUGAGAUUCUCAAAGCUAUCAAGCGUCAACCACAUUUUAUGGCUUGUUCAGAGGAGAAAAUCAAGAGUUUAAUGAAUUUUUAUACAAACACAAUGAAGUUGAAGCCAUCUGCAAUAGCUACUUAUCCUAGGCUUCUUUUGUAUUCAUUUGAUGCAAGGAUACGACCGAGGUUUAAUGUUUUGAACAUCUUGGCUUCAAAGAAGCUGCUUAAGAAACACAAAAAGAUUGC